rnacentral:rRNA from 1 species
UAAUUGAAGAGUUUGAUCAUGGCUCAGAUUGAACGCUGGCGGCAGGCCUAACACAUGCAAGUCGAACGGUAACAUUUCUAGCUUGCUAGAAGAUGACGAGUGGCGGACGGGUGAGUAAUGCUUGGGAACUUGCCUUUGCGAGGGGGAUAACAGUUGGAAACGACUGCUAAUACCGCAUAAUGUCU